CACUGAAUGAGAUUUUAACACGAAGUGAGUGGCGGACGGGUGAGUAACACGUGGGUAACCUGCCCAGAAGCAGGGGAUAACACCUGGAAACAGAUGCUAAUACCGUAUAACAGAGAAAACCGCCUGGUUUUCUUUUAAAAGAUGGCUCUGCUAUCACUUCUGGAUGGACCCGCGGCGCAUUAGCUAGUUGGUGAGGUAACGGCUCACCAAGGCGAUGAUGCGUAGCCGACCUGAGAGGGUAAUCGGCCACAUUGGGACUGAGACACGGCCCAGACUCCUACGGGAGGCAGCAGUAGGGAAUCUUCCACAAUGGACGCAAGUCUGAUGGAGCAACGCCGCGUGAGUGAAGAAGGGUUUCGGCUCGUAAAGCUCUGUUGUUAAAGAAGAACGUGGGUGAGAGUAACUGUUCACCCAGUGACGGUAUUUAACCAGAAAGCCACGGCUAACUACGUGCCAGCAGCCGCGGUAAUACGUAGGUGGCAAGCGUUAUCCGGAUUUAUUGGGCGUAAA
rnacentral:rRNA from 1 species